rnacentral:misc_RNA from 1 species
CCAAUAGCGUAUAUUAAAGUUGUUGUGGUUAAAAAGCUCGUAGUUGAACCUUGGGCCUGGCUGGCCGGUCCGCCUCACCGCGUGUACUGGUCCGGCCGGGCCUUUCCCUCUGUGGAACCUCAUGCCCUUCACUGGGUGUGACGGGGAAGCAGGACUUUUACUGUGAAAAAAUUAGAGUGCUCCAAGCAGGCCUAUGCUCGAAUACAUUAGCAUGGAAUACUAAAAUAGGACGUGCGGUUCUAUUUUAUUGGUUUCUAGGACCGCCGUAAUGAUUAAUAGGGACAGUCGGGGGCAUCAGUAUUCAAUUGUCAGAGGUGAAAUUCUUGGAUUUAUUGAAGACUAACUACUGCGAAAGCAUUUGCCAAGGAUGUUUUCAUUAAUCAAGAACGAAAGUUAGGGGAUCGAAGACGAUCAGAUACCGUCGUAGUCUUAACCAUAAACUAUGCCGACUAGGGAUCGGAUGAUGUUAAUUUUUUAAUGACUCAUUCGGCGCCUUACG